rnacentral:rRNA from 1 species
UACGGGGGGAGCAAGCGUUGUUCGGAUUUACUGGGCGUAAAGGGCGCGUAGGCGGUCGUGACAAGUCACUUGUGAAAUCUCCGGGCUUAACUCGGAACGGUCAAGUGAUACUGUCGGACUAGAGUACAGAAGGGGCAACUGGAAUUCUCGGUGUAGCGGUGAAAUGCGUAGAUAUCGAGAGGAACACCUGCGGCGAAGGCGGGUUGCUGGGCUGAUACUGACGCUGAUGCGCGAAAGCCAGGGGAGCAAACAGG